rnacentral:rRNA from 1 species
UACGUAGGGAGCAAGCGUUGUCCGGAAUCAUUGGGCGUAAAGCGCGUGUAGGCGGCCAGAUAAGUCCGCUGUGAAAUCUCGAGGCUCAACUUCGAGCUGUCGGUGGAAACUGUCUGGCUAGAGUCCGGAAGAGGAGAAUGGAAUUCCUGGUGUAGCGGUGGAAUGCGUAGAGAUCGGGAAGAACAUCAGUGGCGAAGGCGGCCUGCUGGGCUGUUGCUGACGCUGAGGCGCGACAGCGUGGGGGAGCAAACAGG